GCCCCCGCUCCUCGGUCAGACAGGGCGGCGGACGCGGGGGCCUGCUGCCUCGGAAAGGGGCUGGGGAGGGGGGGCAGGAGCGGCGAGGAGCCGGAUAAACACCGGGGAGGAGAAGGGCGUCCCUCCCACCCCCGCAGGGUGCGAGCUGCCUCUGCUUGUCCGGCCGCCCGGGGCGGCCCCGCGCCCCUCCGCGGUGCGGUGCGGUGCGCGGAGCGGCUGCUGCUGCUGCUGCUACCGCUGAAGGUGAAGCUCUCGCUCUCCAAUUACUUUUCCCAAGAGGGAGAAGGAGGCAGCAGGAGGGGGAAGUCGUGCUGUGUGUGAAAGGCAAACCAAUCAGAGAUGCUCUAACGGAGGGAUUGCUGCAGGACGCGCCGGUUUUUCCUCCCUUCCUCCGCCGGCGGGGCUGAAUCGGGACCGCACGCAGCUGGCGGAGGGGCCGGAGCCGCACUGGGCUGCAGGACUUCCUCACCUGUCGCUUUUCCGAUAGCUAAUCCAGACUUAGUCCUAUUUAUUUAUUUAUUUAUUUAUUUAUUUAUUUAUUUAUUUUUAAUACUCUGAAACCGUGCACGAGAAGCACUUCAAGUCUUCCCACCCUUCCCACUUACUUCACCCUUCCUCUAGCGUCUCUUAGCCGGAUUCCUGGUGUAUUCCCAGAGAGGCGGGGGGGGGAGACCCGGGCCCCGGCGGACGGCUGCCCGCCCCAGCCCGGCCGAGCCGCGGAGAACCGAGCCGAGCCGAGGAGCCGGGCGCGGCGCCGCUCCGUGCCCCCGGGCGCUGGCGGGGCGCGGGGCGCGGGCCGGCGAUGCCCGGGCGGUGAGGCCGGAGCUCCCCCCGCGACGGGAGGCGGCCGAUCGCUAGGUGUUUCCAGCAGGAAGCGGGGCUGCAGGAUGAAUAAGAGAUACUUACAGAAAGCAACGAAAGGAAAACUGCUAAUAAUAAUAUUUGUUGUAACACUGUGGGGGAAAUUAGCAUCUGGGGCAAAUCAUCAUAAAGCUCACCAUGUUAAAACUGGGACCUGUGAAGUGGUGGCACUCCACAGAUGUUGCAAUAAGAACAAGAUAGAAGAAAGAUCACAGACGGUGAAGUGCUCCUGCUUCCCUGGGCAGGUAGCAGGUACCACCCGGGCAGCUCCUUCUUGUGUUGAUGCUUCAAUAGUGGAGCAGAAAUGGUGGUGCCACAUGCAACCAUGUCUUGAAGGGGAGGAAUGUAAAGUUCUUCCAGAUCGUAAGGGAUGGAGCUGUUCUUCUGGAAAUAAAGUGAAAACAACUAGGCUGUGGCAGUAUUCCUGGAGCCAAAUGUGAUUGCACUACCUCAAAAUGCCAGCAGUGGAAGCUGGUAAGCAAGUGGGGAAAAAUCACCAGAGGAAUCUCUGAAGCUUGGGACAAAGGCAGAAAACACAUCAGUACUCCACUAACAGAGCAGCAGGUACCCUCAAUAGAGAAGAUAAAAUUACAGUCUUUUAUGCCGUCACGCCGCAGUCCCACUAUGGAGUUGCGAUCACCACAAAAACCUCAAGAGGAUAUAUCCUUGUCUGAAUUGCUACAGUUAUUAUCUGUUACAGAAAGUAAAAUAAGGCAAACGUGUAAAACUCCUCAAGUCCGAAUGGAGAAGUAGAGAAAGGAGGUUUCUGCUGUGCCUGAUGACAAUUUUUGAUUUUUCCACACACACAAAAUAUUCUGGCUCCACGUUGGAGCACUAGUUGUGAUGAAUCCUAGUCUUGGUCGGAUUCUAAGGAAGGGCCAGAACGUUCGUUGAGGAAUAAAGAGUCAAACCACUCCAGAAAAUGUGUUCCAGCCCUGGUUUAUUACUCACAGAGCAGCAGGUAACCCGAUAGCUAAAGACAAAUCAAGUCAGUCUCAAAGCUGAUAACAUUAAAUACAACACAUAGGAAUUUCAUUCCUCCAGGCAAUCCUUGAAGUCAAAUUUUAUACUGCUGGGGUGUAUCCUUCAGAGUCAAUUGUUUCAAUGAGAACCUGGCUUGUAAUCAGCAACAUCCUUGAGAUCAAAACUACUGGAAAGUCAUUCUGAACUUCUGUGUCACAAAGACUUCAACUGAUUGAACUGUGUACACUUGUAAAAUUGCACUUGCUGAGGAAUUUGCAGCUGUAAUCACAAGAGUUGAUAUUCAAGAGGUGCAGAAAAGCAGCAAUCUUUCAGAUUCUCCAUUCCAGACCAGUGGCUUUUCAUCUUGAUGAACUCAACCUCCAAAAUGUAUUGGUUCCUUCUCUCUGAAAUGAACCCUGGUCCACCAUUCAGAUUGCUGGUGGGAAUGCACACUGCUUUAAUUAAAUUUCUGUUGCAGAAAUCGUCCUCUGGCAUGGCGCAGUUUUAGACAUUUUUAUUUGUAUUCUAAUCUUGGAGCUCUCAAAGGUACAUAUUUCAACAUCUUGAAGUUGCUUUUGUUAUAGGAAUGGAAAUAUAUAUCCAUUGUUAAUAAUUAUUGUUGACAAGUAAUAGUUACCUGAAUACAUCAGUCAUAUUAGAAUGUAUAGUGAGGUUGCCGUGUUUCCCUAAGGCUAACCGACUACUGCAGCUAUUUGGCAGUUAAAAAGUAGUGGUCAAAACUCAAUUACCACUUCCAUUAUAAGACAUUUUAUACCUUUAAGAUAUACAUUUCCAUUUAGUUUGAAGGAGAUGGGUGUUCCUGAUAUGUACUUUACUUUCCCAACCUUUAAUUAAUUGAAAUUCAUGGUAAGCAGUCAAUGACAGUAUUUCAUCCCUUUUUAUAAAGGUAGGCAGGGAUGUAAAUGAGUUUUGCAAUUAUGAAAUAGGAUGGUAAUCAUUCAGAUUUUUUGUCUUUUUAUUAAAAAAUAAAAUCCCUUGCUUGAACCUAAGUACUUUUGGAUGCUUAUGUAGAUGUCUGCUCAGUCUGUUUGCUAUAAAGGAAAAAAGUCCUAGUGCCCACCUAGAUUUACAGUUUGUGGGUAUUUUGCUUGCUUACAGUCAUCCAAUUCAGAUCAGAUCCUUGCCAAAAUCACAUUUACUUUUUUAUUUUUUGUUUCAGUAGCAAUUUUUGAACUUCGUGAUGUGCUGUUACAUGAAAAAAUCCUCAAUAUUUAAAGGCCUUAAGCAUCUAUGAGCUUUUUUCUAAGUUAUUACAGAAUGUAUAAUUUUAUACUCCAUUUAGUGUAUAUUGUACCAUCUGUAAUAUUGAUACAACAGAAAUUUGGCAAUUCCUUUUAGUGACACUGCAUAAGCAUGCUGACUGGAGAGGCUGAGGGAGUUCUGGCUGUAUGCUUUGGUGCAUUGAAAUGAAAACCACACACACUUAAUGGUAGUAAAAAAAAUAUAGAUGCAGGCUUAUUUAAAAGUCCUGUGUGGUUACCAGACUCCCAGAAAAAGAGGGAAAUGAUUUUAUCAUUACAAGUCAUUGACAUGGCUAGGUAGUUAUAUAUUAAGUUCCAUGAUGAAUGAACACCCUGGAGUGCUCUGCCUGUCACAGUAGCCUGUGCUGUUCCAAAACCAUUUCAUUACCUCUGCUGUAUUAUUGCACAGGAGAGUUUAAAUAAAAUAAAUGACUGUUGGGAAUAAAAUUGAGAAGUAUAUUCUAUCAUUCUGCUGAGAAAUAAUAAAAAAUAUUGGCAGGGAAAGAUACUCUUCUCUGAUUAAAAUUUAAUUAGGAUAAACUGUUUGUAGCAGCAACUAGGUAUCUCAGUAUUUUAGGAUGGAUUAAUACUGUAUGGAUUUGUGGAGGACAGAAGGUAGCAUCUUAAAGAUAUUGUCUGGGACAGUGCAAAGUGUAAAUGUGCUGGUUUGUAAAAUCUGAAUAUGGCCUCUCUUUGGUCAAAAAUCUGCAUCAUACUUCUCAAUAUUUGUUUUCUUUGUUUCUUUGUUCUUAAACCAACUCUGAAAAUACUGUAUUAUAUACAAGUGUAGCACAUGCAUAUCAAUAAGUGAAAAUAAAUGGAUUUUCAAAUAUACUGAAUAGAUUAUCUGCAGUAGUUUGAUGUUGUGAAUAUUCAUAGCAAGUGAAUAAAAUUGUAAUAUAGAGUUCCCUGUAUGGAUGUGCGCUUUGGAGAUCUAUUCUGUUUACCCAUGGAACAAAAUAAUUUUUUUUCAGUGAAUAAGAAUCUCGAGGGUUGUAUUAAUUCUAUAUUUUUUCAGUAGAGCUGGGAAUAUCUCCUGCUACUUUGAAAGGUCCUUUUCCAAAGGAAACUUAUAUCUAGCACAACUGUUCUAGCAUUGUCAUGGGAAAUUCUGGUGGGUGUACUGUUGUUUUCAGGCCAGACUGAAUAAAAAUGUUUUUUUUUCUUCACAAACUGGGAAUCCUGAGAAACUCUCAUUUAGACAUUUUCAGUAGCAACAGAACAUGGUAGACGUUCCUGAAAAGAUAAUGUUUCAGGUUAAUUUGUUGAAAUGUUUUGAAGAAAAAGGGAAAAAAAAAAAAGGCCAGUUAAACAGUGAACUCUGCUUGUGUAUCUCAAAGCAAGCUGAGAACCGUAGUUCAGCUGUCCAUAGUGCCUGUUCUAGUGCUGUCUUUGAAAAUGGAGUGCAGGUGACUACAUCAGGUGUGGGUAUGCAUGUUGUAAGCAUGUGGAGAUGAAUCCUGCUUCAAUUACUCCUUCAUUUCUUAUUUACUACUUCCCAGAUUAUUUGAUAUACCCAUCUUAAUCUGAUUAAAAAGAAGAUCGGGCAUUAUAAUCAGAGGGAAAUCCAUGUUACCCUUUGAAUUCAGAUAUCAUCAAGAACUCUGAACUGCAAGGAGAAUAUGAAUUCCUAUUCUGCAAUUCCAUGUGGCAAUGCAUUGACAGGGAAAGAAAACAGUGCUUUGUUCAAAACGUUCAGAAUGAAAUGUAUUGGAUCAGUUCAACAAAACAUAAAGACAAUCCUGUUAUGAGUCUCAAUGAAAAAAAUUUCCUGAUCAGAUCUAAUAAAUAUAAAAGAGAACUUAAAAAAUGUUCAAGACUGUAUCUUGGUUGUAUAUAGCUUACUGGUCAUAAGUAAGUGCUAACUAUUGGAACAGCACUGCUGCAGAUACCACUGUUACUACCUUUAAAUCCACCUAUUAUCCUGUAUCCUUUAAAUUUUCCUAUUUAUCUUAUAUCUUUUAAAUCUUGACUCCCCCAGUUCUGCUCAAGAACGCUACUGGUGUAGCAUUUCAGUACUUCAAGCCAGUGCAGCUCUGCUUCAUGCAGAAUUUCUGUGCUUUAAAACUGGAGACAGAAAGCAUCAGAUAGUUUUGUUUUGAAACUAAAAAUCUACUAUAAGGUAGUAGGUUCCCUAAAAAAUAUAUGCAGGGUUUUUUUUUGCUCAUUAUAAUUGUUCAACUGGAUUUUAUAGUUUACAAGUAAUGCAUGGAUGUCAUUAUAACAACAUAAUAUAUAUAAGACAUAAGAUAUAACACCAAAACAGAAAAAUGUGAUUGACAUCCUUUUCUGUUGAUGUACUGCCUCCUCCUUCAUGCUUGAAUUUUACACAUCUGUUGUUAGCCAAGAUACUGGCAAGGAAAAAGAACACAGUUUUGGUUUGUAAGAGAAGUGUUGCCUUAAUCUCUAGUUUCUUUUUGCCAAUAGUUAGGUAGCUCUGUAUUAAACAUGUCACACCUGAAAAAUCUGAUGUUAUUAAAUGAUUUCUUAUGGUUUCAGUGGUAUUAAAUUGAAUAAUAAGAAUUACUUAAUCACUGUAUUAGUCUUUAUAAUGCAGUUUGUACCCUGAGAAACUUUUAUGUUUAUUCUUUUAUAGAAUGAAAAAAGAUUUCCAAAUUACAGCUUUGAUCCUCUUUCUGUAAGAGGUUAUGUAACUUUCUGGUACCACAUUACACUCAGUCAUUGCAAAUAUUUUUGCAAAAA